GGCUCGGCGUGUGCGGGGGAUGGCCCAGCGCGGGAAGGCGGGAAGGGCAGUGACGGGUCGCGUCGCUUCGCAAAGCCCAGCGAUGACCAGGGAGCCUGUCACUGGAGAGGGUCUUUCUUCUUGGGCUGAUCAGAUUCCUUCCAGGUCUGGGGGCUGAGUCGUGGAAGGGAGCUGGGGAUCUCAGCCUUAACUGCAGCAGUCUGUCUACAUUCUGUACAGUGCCAUUAGCCCAAAACUGUGUCUGUUGACCCACCGUUUAGAGACCCUCUGUUUUAUCCACUCCAGAGAAUAAAUAUCCGACUACUGCUGGGGCUGUGGCAGGGAUCUGGAGUUUGAACUGCUUCCCAGGAGUCUGGAAGUAAGCAGCUGUCGGUAUUGGUUCUGCAGUUCAAUGAUACCAUGUUUGCAAGAUGACCACCCCGGCUCCAGUCAUCCUAUCCUUGUCCAAGAAAACAAGAUUUUUCUAGAAAUGCCCCUUUCCCCCAACAGAUGCUUGCUUGCAAGAUUGUGCCACAUUGCUAACCCUAGUCGCCAGUGAGGCCAGUACAAAAAAAGGGGGAUGGGAAUAUUUUCUGAGUUAGCCAAUCAACUGUGCAUGCCACAAUGUCCUUUGCCUAUUUGUCUAUUAGAAUGUUUGUCUUUUUGUUAUUGGUUUGUAAAAGUGCUUUGUAUAUUAAGAAUACUAGCCCUCUUUGUUGUCACAUGUGUUUGGCAAAUGUAUUUCCCCUGCUUCUUGUAUGCAAUUUAAUUUUGUUUCAAUAUACAGAAGAUUUAUGUUUUUUUAAUUGUUAGGUCCACACAUCUUUUAUUGUGUGGUUUCCUCUUUUGUUCUGAGAAAAUAUCACUAUUCUUCCAUAUUUUCUUUUUGAUCUUUCAUUUUAAUUUAAAAGAGCAGAAAGGGCAUCUUGUUUGAUUCUUACCAGAGACUGGGGAAGGAGUGACCCAGGGAGCAAAGGAAUAGAGAAAACAAAUUUAGUCUACUAUCACUGAACAGGAGCCCUGGUGGUGUAGUGGUUAAGAGCUACAGCUGCUCACCAAAAGGUCGGCAGUUGGAAUCCACCAGCUGCUCCUUGGAGACCCUAUGUGGCCUGUCCUGUGGGGAGCUAUGAGUUGGAAUCGACUCAAUGGCAACGGGUUUGGUUUUGGUUUAUCACUGAACACAGGAAAAAGGCUUGAUCUUGCCUUCCAAGUAUGCAGGAAAGUCUCUCAUGUUAAAACAUUUAUUGGUGAACAAUGGUGGCAGCUGGAUAAGGUAGACUUUUGGGGGCCUGUUUAGAGGCAAGGCAUGUUUUGUGGCAAACAAACCUCAGAUAUUGAGGAGAGAGAAUGUGAAACAAAAACACUGGUUCAAUUUCAAAAAGAAGAGGUGAUUAGAAAUAAAAAAAUAUACAACUGGAAAGACCACACAGCGAUGGAUUUUGCAAGCAGUUAUGCUAUGGAAAACACUGCAAGCAUAAUGGAGAUUCCAAAGAUUGCUGAGAGAGAACCCCACCAACUGGAACUGCUCUCAGCUUAUUGAUCAAAAGUAGUUUUUAUGAGGGGCAGUGAAAACCAGCCUGUUUAGUAACACUGCCUUCUAUAGUGUGCAUUUUUCCUACAGUGGGAUUAACCUAGGGCUGAACACUCUCUAUGUCCCAGAUGAAAUUACUUUAAGGUGACAGCCAAGUGACAGCCUAGGCCUGUAUAAUCAUGAAAAAAAAUAUACAAAUACACAAGACAUUUUAGGCUUAGAAAAAAAUAUCUUUCCAUAUGUUUGCAUCUAAUCCCAUCUGUCUUUGAUAUAGAAAGAUGACAAACUGAAAUUGAGAAUGAACUGCCCAAAUUCUUUCUCUCUACUCCAAAUAGAAACUACAAAAUGGCCUAAAGAAUAAUCUGUAAAUCCCCUCCCACCCCCCACACAAAGAUGAAAAACAAUGACAUCAUCAUGUUUUCCAGUUAUCCUGAAACUGCAAGACUAAAUUUCGGAAAAUAAUUGUAUGACUCUGCAAUCUCUCUCCAUCUUGAAAUUGUCUUCUCUGUGUUAGAUCAAUUUUUAGGUACUCAGAUUCAUGGAUGCUUUGAUAUAAAUUAAUAGGUUGGAUGAAUAUUAGACUUGGAGGGGACUGUCAAGGCCAAUUACUUAUUUACUGAACUAUGGCCAUCGUUUGUUGCACCUGAUGAGCGUUCCUCACCAUUCCUCUUGGGAGAUGCAUGUUCAUCGAGGCAAAGGUGGGAAAUUCUAGAAAAGACAUAUCUUUAACCAAUUAUUCCUCCUCAGCUAGCCUUUCCUAACACUUAGUACUUCCUCAAGUGCUGAGUUGCGUUUCUUCGCAUGUUUGAAGCAAAUAUUUUUCUGCCUACUGGUCGGGCUACUUUAAUUUCAGGUCAUCUCAGUAAAUUGCAUGAAUUGAGAGUUUUGUUCAUAACUUUCAACCUUCUGAUUCAUACAUCCACACAAACACAUUCACUGUGCUUUUCCUAGUACGAUAGUCCUUGAAAAGAUGGGUUAAUUUGACCUCAUACUAUGUACCCAUUUUAUUACAUUCGGUUCUCCCACAAGAUACUAUUAGUGACUAAUGUAACAGGCUUUCCACAAACUGUUUUUUUCUGCCUUUGUCUUAAUAGUUCUUUUGAUCACAGCUAGAUCCAAACAACAACUGCCUUAAGGUAAUUUAUUCCUUUUU